GAUGAACGCUGGCGGCGUGCUUAACACAUGCAAGUCGAACGGAAAGGCCCAAGCUUGCUUGGGUACUCGAGUGGCGAACGGGUGAGUAACACGUGGGUGAUCUGCCCUGCACUUCGGGAUAAGCCUGGGAAACUGGGUCUAAUACCGGAUAGGACCACAUUUUGGAUGGUGUGGUGGAAAGUUUUUCGGUGUGGGAUGAGCUCGCGGCCUAUCAGCUUGUUGGUGGGGUAAUGGCCUACCAAGGCGUCGACGGGUAGCCGGCCUGAGAGGGUGUACGGCCACAUUGGGACUGAGAUACGGCCCAGACUCCUACGGGAGGCAGCAGUGGGGAAUAUUGCACAAUGGGCGCAAGCCUGAUGCAGCGACGCCGCGUGGGGGAUGACGGCCUUCGGGUUGUAAACUCCUUUCGCUAGGGACGAAGCGUUAUGUGACGGUACCUGGAGAAGAGGCACCGGCUAACUACGUG
rnacentral:rRNA from 1 species